rnacentral:rRNA from 1 species
GAUGAACGCUGGCGGCGUGCCUAAUACAUGCAAGUCGAGCGAACAGACGAGGAGCUUGCUCCUCUCACGUUAGCGGCGGACGGGUGAGUAACACGUGGAUAACCUACCUAUAAGACUGGGAUAACUUCGGGAAUGCGGAGCUAAUACCGGAUAAUAUAUUGAACCGCGUUGGUCGAUGGUGAAAGACGGUGGUUCUGGCACUUAUAGAUGGAUCUCCGCCUCAUGAGCGAGUUGUGAAGUUAACGGGUUACUAAGGCAACGAUGCGUAGACGAGGUGAGAGGGUGAUCGGCCACACUGGAACGGAGACACGGACAAGAGGCCUAAGGGAGGGCGCAGUCGGGAAUCGUACGCAAUGGGCGAAAGCCUGACGGAGCAACGCGGCGCGAGUGAUGAAGGUCUUCGGAUCGUAAAACUCUGUUAUUAGGGAAGAACAAAUGUGUAAGUAACUAUGCACGUAUUGACGGUACCUAAUAAGAAAGCAACGGCUAACUACGUG